GCCCCGUUGGCGCAAUUGGUUAGCGUAUCGGCCUUUUAAGCCGGUGGUUGUGAGUUCGAAUCUCACACGGGGCG